rnacentral:rRNA from 1 species
AUUGAACGCUGGCGGCAUGCCUUACACAUGCAAGUCGAACGGCAGCACGGGUGCUUGCACCUGGUGGCGAGUGGCGAACGGGUGAGUAAUAUAUCGGAACGUACCUUAUUGUGGGGGAUAACGCAGCGAAAGCUGUGCUAAUACCGCAUAAUCCCUAAGGGGGAAAGCGGGGGGCCGUAAGGCCUCGCGCAAUUAGAGCGGCCGAUACCUGAUUAGCUAGUUGGUGAGGUAAAGGCUCACCAAGGCAACGAUCAGUAGCUGGUCUGAGAGGACGAUCAGCCACACUGGGACUGAGACACGGCCCAGACUCCUACGGGAGGCAGCAGUGGGGAAUUUUGGACAAUGGGGGCAACCCUGAUCCAGCAAUGCCGCGUGAGUGAAGAAGGCCUUCGGGUUGUAAAGCUCUUUUGUCAGGGAAGAAACAGCAGCUCUAACACAGUUUGCGAAUGACGGUACCUGAAGAAUAAGCACAGGCUAACUACGUGCCAGCCGCCGCUGUAA